AACGCGAAGAACCUUACCUACCCUUGACAUCCUACGAAGAUUGCAGAGAUGCGAUUGUGCCGAAAGGAACGUAGAGACAGGUGCUGCAUGGCUGUCGUCAGCUCGUGUUGUGAGAUGUUGGGUUAAGUCCCGUAACGAGCGCAACCCUUAUCCUUAGUUGCCAACAUGUAAUGGUGGGGACUCUAAGGAGACUGCUGGUGAAGAACCGGAGGAAGGUGGGGACGACGUCAAGUCAUCAUGGCCUUUAUGGGUAGGGCUACACACGUGCUACAAUGGGCAGUACAGAGGGAAGCGAAGCUGUGAAGUGAAGCGAAUCCCGCAAAGCUGUUCGUAGUCCGGAUUGAAGUCUGCAACUCGACUUCAUGAAGUCGGAAUCGCUAGUAAUCGCGAAUCAGAACGUCGCGGUGAAUACGUUCCCGGGCCUUGUACACACCGCGCAUA
rnacentral:rRNA from 1 species